GCUAMCAUGCAGUCGAACGGUAAGGCCCCUUCGGGGGUACACGAGUGGCGAACGGGUGAGUAACACGUGAGCAACCUGCCCUUGACUUCGGAAUACCAGCUGGAAACAGCUGCUAAUACCGGAUAUGACACUUGCCCUCAUGGGUGGGUGUGGAAAGCUCCGGCGGUCAGGGAUGGGCUCGCGGCCUAUCAGCUUGUUGGKGAGGUAAUGGCUCACCAAGGCUUCGACGGGUAGCCGGCCUGAGAGGGCGACCGGMCACACUGGGACUGAGAUACGGCCCAGACUCCUACSGGAGGCAGCAGUGGGGAAUAUUGCACAAUGGGCGCAAGCCUGAUGCAGCAACGCCGCGUGCGGGAUGACGGCCUUCGGGUUGUAAACCGCUUUCAGUAGGGACSAAGCUAASGUGACGGUACCUACAGAAGAAGGACCGGCUAACUACG
rnacentral:rRNA from 1 species